UGCGGGAUGGUCUAGUGGUAUGACGCUCGUCUCUGGAAUGAGAAACCGAGGUUCGAAUCCUCGUCCCGCAA
rnacentral:tRNA from 1 species